AUUGAACGCUGGCGGCAGGCCUAACACAUGCAAGUCGAGCGGAUGAAGGGAGCUUGCUCCUGGAUUCAGCGGCGGACGGGUGAGUAAUGCCUAGGAAUCUGCCUGGUAGUGGGGGAUAACGUCCGGAAACGGGCGCUAAUACCGCAUACGUCCUGAGGGAGAAAGUGGGGGAUCUUCGGACCUCACGCUAUCAGAUGAGCCUAGGUCGGAUUAGCUAGUUGGUGGGGUAAAGGCCUACCAAGGCGACGAUCCGUAACUGGUCUGAGAGGAUGAUCAGUCACACUGGAACUGAGACACGGUCCAGACUCCUACGGGAGGCAGCAGUGGGGAAGAUUGGACAAUGGGCGAAAGCCUGAUCCAGCAAUGCCGCGUGUGUGAAGAAGGUCUUCGGAUUGUAAAGCACUUUAAGUUGGGAGGAAGGGCAGUAAGUUAAUACCUUGCUGUUUUGACGUUACCAACAGAAUAAGCACCGGCUAACUUCGUG
rnacentral:rRNA from 1 species